UCUGUCUCUAGAGGCAUUGCAGGUGUGGCUGCUGUGUCACAUGUGCAUCAGUAGGUGGCAGAGAGGAGAGAAUCUAUGUUCUGACCUAUGAACAUCUGAAAUAUUAGUGACCUAACAUU
rnacentral:snoRNA from 1 species